rnacentral:rRNA from 1 species
UACGGAGGGUGCAAGCGUUAUCCGGAUUUACUGGGUUUAAAGGGUGCGUAGGUGGAUAAUUAAGUCAGUGGUGAAAUCUUCAGGCUUAACCUGGAAACUGCCAUUGAUACUAUUUGUCUUGAAUACUUUGGAGGUAAGCGGAAUAUGUCAUGUAGCGGUGAAAUGCUUAGAUAUGACAUAGAACACCAAUUGCGAAGGCAGCUUACUACACAGUAAUUGACACUGAGGCACGAAAGCGUGGGGAUCAAACAGGG